rnacentral:rRNA from 1 species
GACAAAAUAGAUCAAAUUAAAAUUGAUGGCAGUAUAAAAGGGGGUUAGAAAAUUAUUUUGGGAAAUAAUAUUUUUUAGGGAGGUGGAAUUUAAAUAAGAAAAGGUAAUUUAGGUUUCUCUUGUUUUUGAUGCCUCGAAAUUUUGUGUGUAAGACCGGGAUUAGAUACCCCGUUAUUCAAAAUGUAAACUUUAAUUGUGAGUGUGAUUUACUUGAGUAUUACGAGUGUAGUUAGGUUGUUGUUUUUAGUUAUAUUUCUUAAAACUCAAAAGACUUGGCGGUGCCUCAUAUCUUUCCAGGGGAACUUGUCCUAUAAUCGAUAUUCCACGAUUUAACUUUCUUUCUUUUGAAUUGUUAUCAGCUUGUAUACCGUCGUCGUCAGGUUACCUUUAAGGGUUAUGAAGUUAUCGGUGCGAAUAAUGUAUAAGAAUUAUUUAAAUUUUUGUGGAUAUUCUAAACGUCAGAUCAAGGUGCAGCUUAUAAGAAAGUAGAGAUGGGUUACAGUAAUGAUUUAUUAUUAACGGAUUUUUGUUGUAAUAGCAAAAUUGAAGGCGGACUUGGAAGUAAUNUUAGUUAAAUUAGAUGAGAAAGCUUAAAUGAAAAUAGGCUCUGAGGUGCGC